rnacentral:lncRNA from 1 species
UGAAAGAUUCUUGCAGUCUGUGUAGAAUGGUAACAUAGAAGUCACUCUUUCUCUUUAAACUAAAAAGCUUUGCCCUUCUAAGUUCUGAAUUAUUGCCUGAACUAUUGUACAUUAUCCCUCCCUAGCAGGUCCACAGCUUCCAAGAUACCUUCAGGACCUCUUGGGGAGAAGAUAUUAUCUAAAGAGAUGACCCAAGUCACAAGUUUGACUCUUCCAACCCAGAGGCAAAGGCAGUUUAGUGAGAAGAGACUAUUCCAGAAGAGCUGAGAGCCUCCAACGCUGUCAUCUGCCCUCAGAGUUAGGACUACCUAAGAACAUCAGCAAAGUCUUCAAAACAGAUUCUCACCAAAGGGUACUUCCUAUCCCGUGGACAGGCCUUGCAAAGCAAAGAUUACCACAGACUGCCUUUAUGGAGCCCUUCUGCAUUUCCCCAUGACUUAAACAAUGGUGGACCAAGUGUUGAUUCAGAAAACACCCUUUUUGUAUAUGUUGACUCAGUUGGGGACAUCCUUGUGAACCAUGGCUCUGGCUGGAAGACUCAAUGCUGGAAACUGCCUCUGGUCGCAGUGGGCUCCUCUCUCCCUCUGCUUCAGGUGGAAGUAUGAAUGGACCUCCUGGCUGU